rnacentral:rRNA from 1 species
UACGAAGGGGGCUAGCGUUGUUCGGAAUUACUGGGCGUAAAGCGCACGUAGGCGGACUACUAAGUCAGGGGUGAAAUCCCGGGGCUCAACCCCGGAACUGCCUUUGAUACUGAUAGUCUCGAGUCCGGAAGAGGUGAGUGGAAUUCCGAGUGUAGAGGUGAAAUUCGUAGAUAUUCGGAGGAACACCAGUGGCGGAAGGCGGCUCACUGGUCCGGUACUGGACGCUGAGGUGCGAAAGCGUGGGGGAGCAAACAGG